rnacentral:misc_RNA from 1 species
GAUGAAGAACGCAGCGAAAUGCGAUACGUAAUGUGAAUUGCAAAUUCAGUGAAUCAUCGAGUCUUUGAACGCACAUUGCGCCCCCUGGUAUUCCGGGGGGCAUGCCUGUCCGAGCGUCAUUGCUGCCCUCAAGCACGGCUUGUGUGUUGGGCCCCGUCCUCCGAUCCCGGGGGACGGGCCCGAAAGGCAGCGGCGGCACCGCGUCCGGUCCUCGAGCGUAUGGGGCUUUGUCACCCGCUCUGUAGGCCCGGCCGGCGCUUGCCGAUCAACCCAGAUUUUUAUCCAGGUUGACCGCGGAUCAGGUAGGGAUACCCGCUGAACUUAAGCAUAUCAAUAACGGAGGA